UUUUUUUUUUUUUUUUUUUUUUAGCCUGACCUCUAUUACCCAAGUUUGACAUCAGCCCAUUUGGUGGGAAAAGUAUCCAAUUAAGCAGAAGUCAGACUAAGGUGACAACACAGUGCACCAAUUCAGUUAGUAAAAUAGACAAAAAUUAUAUUAUUUCCAAUACAACUUUUUAUACUACUUAGCACGAGCAUCUACCACAGUCCUAAGCCCCCACAUAGUCUUAAAUAAUAAAAGAAGGUGAUGAAUGUUCAAGCAUUCUUGGAUUGAAAGAGACUCUUUGGAGAAACUGUUCACACAACUAGGGAGGGAGAUUUGAUUUAACCGGACAGGAAAAGUCAUGACUGAGAUUUCACAGUCAAUGCUUCGUAAAUAUUUAAGUAGCAAAAACCUACCGAACACCAUUUCCUUAGUAGGUAAAUCAAGUAUGUUACCUUUCUUUCCACAAAGAUGAAACCUGUCUCUACCUUGGCACAGAGACCUAUGGCAGAAAAUAGGAAAGCACACAAAAUACUGGCAAAAAAUGGACUUCUGUAAGUUAGAGUUUGCAUAAAGUCAUUCACAACUUUCUCUGUUAAUUCAGUAUCUUCACGGAGCCCAGAAAUCAUUUCCAUACAUCCAAUUACAUUGUUACACUAGCAAUUCACUCUUUGGUAUUUUGGUAUAUUUCUACUAACAGUUAUAAAGUGAAAACAUAGGAAAAAUCCUUAGACUAUCACACAGAAAUAAAAAUAAAACUUAGGGCUUUUGGUAUGGAUUUGAUUUUUCUUAUAUUUAAGCUAUGUUUUAUUCACUUAACCAUAGUAAAAAGUAGCCAGGAUCAGUUCUAUUUGACCUGUAAUGUAGGCAAAACAAAUAAAGAGCUCUUUGUCAUUGGCUCUAAUUUCUGGUCCUCUACCAGCUGAGUUCAAAUAGUCAGGGCCUCUAAAAUCAUUUCUACUUCCUCUGUCAAAGCCUACCUGCAGAAGAGGCAAUAACCAUCCACACCAUAUGGUAGGAAUUUAUAAAGACUUAAGGAAUAACUUGCCCUAGAAAUUUAAAAAAAAAAUGUGUGUGUGUGUGUGUGUGUGUGUGUGUGUGUGUAUAAACACAUAUACAUACAAGUGAUAAAUGCUAAGUUUUGAGGUCUUAACUGCAGAAUUUCUGGGAUCAAAGAGUGACAACAGCAGGCAUAUGGAGAACAUCAGACCCCACUCUGUUAUAACAUGAUGUUUAGUACACUGUUUAUAUGUGAAAAUACCUAACAUAGGUCUUGGCAUACGAUGGGUAUAAAUAUGCUGAAUUUCAAAAAAUUCUGUAACAGUACCACAUAGUCACAGACAAGAUAACUAGCCUACCUAAAUAUACUGUUAGACCCGAAUACAUUCUAAAAAGAUAUUCCAUACACACUAAGCAUCAAGAAAACAUGACUUUUGCAUAUUAUAUGUAAUAUAUAACUUCUCCCUCCUCGGCGUUCCCAAGAUUAUCUCUUCUUAUACCUCUAUUAGACAUAUCUUCGCUAAAAUUCUGUAACAUUUUAAGAGUUCAUUAUUCUAUUUCCCAGUCCUCAUCUAAAAUCUAAACUAUUUAAGAGAAAAAUUAAACCACAAUUUUCUAUUUUCAAAAUAUGAUUUCUUACUUUAAAGUAUACAGAAUGGCAUAAAGGUAAUAUUGUUUUCUAAAAACCAAUCCCAAUUACACAAAUUUAAUUUAAAACUAUCCCCAAUAUUUUAAAAAGCCAAAUUAUGCCACAGUUAAUUUUAUCAAUAACUAAAUUAGCAUAUAUUUAUGCAGCUAUUGGUUUUUCCAUAAAAAAGAAAAAAAAAGAAAAAUAAAAAUCAGGAGAAUACUAAAAUACGUAUUUCCACAUCUGUGCUACAAUGCAUCUAAAUCGCUCUGAUCAGCUUCAUUUUUUUGAAGCAAUACACAUAUCUGUAAUGAUCAGGACCAGCUCUAUCUGGUUCUUACAGAUAGUCUUGGCAAACUGUCGGUCGCCUGGUAAAUUAAAGUGAUUCAUCAAUGUCAAUGCCGUCGUAAAUACACAAGAUUGGCUAGCUAAGAUGGAUACAAAGUACAGAAAAGGUGCCAGCUGUGUUGGAUGCUUGAAUUUUUUUUUUCAGUCAGGAGAUACACUUCAUAUAUGACGAAGUCUAUCAAACAUGAUUCUUGUUUCGUUUUAUUGUCAGAAAUCCUUUUCAUUAAAAUUUUUCAAACCUAAAGCCUCUGAAAAAGAUACAGCACAUUAAAUUUCCUUAACAGUUAUCUAUAGUUUCCAAAAUCAAACGUGAAUUAAGAAAAAAUGUAAACAGAUAUUCAUGUGCGGGGGGGGAAACGACAAAGUUCAUAAAGUAAAAAAAAAAAAGAAGAAGGUCAUGAACCAACAAGCAUCAGAGUAGGUCAGUUUUUCAUUAUAACGAUAUUUUUUAACAUAAGGGCUGAAGUGAUGAAAUCAAAUGUUUUCAGGUACCUGGUUUUAGUAAUCUGAGACAAAGAAAUAAUAGUAUGAUAGAAACAUUUAAUAACCUUUUCCUUACUUAUUUGACAUUAUGAUGUUGAUUUCUCACAGACCUAUUUCCUCAUUCCUUAUUUAAGGAAGCAAUCUGAUGCCCCAGAUUUCCAGUGUUUAAUUCAGUAACUAUUUAUUUAAACAUGGGUAUUCCUAAGGUGUUGUUUUUAGAUAUAAAAGGGACAUGAGAACCAGUUCUAUCCUUGACCCCCGAAAUAAUUCUGUUUCUCAAUAUCCAGAGCAGAAUAACAUUUCAUAUGCCAUAUAUAAGUAACAGGAUCUGAAAAAUCUUAUAUUUCCAAUGAAUAGCAAAGCAUGAUUUUUAUUGAAAAUAAAUUUAAACUCACAAGUAUAUUUAGAGCUAUAGUUUGGGCAAGUGAUCUAGAAUGAUAAUGUAGAUUUGAAGGCAUAUAUACAUACAUAUAUAUAUGGAGUGAUGGAAUAAAUGAUAUAGAAAAUACGAUUAUCUCAAGAUAGUUAAGUAUUUAAGGAAUGAAUACCUAUUUAUGAGACAUUUAUGACUGGAUGUUCAGUCUAAUAAAGUAACUUGAUAAAACAGAAUCAAUCAACGCAUCCCAAACCUCUUCCUCCUCCUAUAUUUCCUAUACUCUUCCUCCUAAAUCAUGAUUUUAAGGCCCCAAACAGGAAUUAGUCCUGACAUUUUCCUCAUUCUUACCAAUCCCCAAUAACUGGUUCAUCAUAACAUUUAUCCUCCUAAACAGUUCGUUUCUCCCCAUUGCUACUUCUGUAUCUCUAAGCCACGUUACCAUCAUUCUGCCCUACCCUAUUCAAAUAAGCUUUAGCUUGUUUCUCUGUGGUCUUGGUGACUCUCCUUUUUUUGCAUUAAAGCCAGUAAUAGUCUUAUAAAAUGCCAACUUCACUUCUAUUCCCAAACUCUUUAAAACUUCUUUUGGCCUUGAGUCAAAUUUCAAACCCUUCUAAGAGGCCAUAAAAUGCUUUGAUCACCAACCUCACAUCUCACCAAUAAGCACCCCCGCCCCCUGCUUCCACAUCUCCAUCUCCACACAGAGACAUUUACAGACACCUUACACUCUAGGCACAGUACUCAAUUUUAAUUUAUUCAAAGGCGUCAGGUUUUCUUAUCACCCCUCUUUUAUUUGCAUAUUCUCUGCCUUCUAUCUGGAGUUCUAACCUCAUUUCCAGCCCACGAACAGCAAACUACUCCUGAGGAAAUCAAGACCCUAUGAGGUUAUCACCUCCCUUUAUUAAAUGUAGCUAGUGGUAUAUAACUAAAUGAUUAAAGCCAGAUUUCCUUGCAAUAAGAUUAGUAUUUUACUCUUUAUUUUUAAACAUUUUUUAAAUUUAGCAGAAGUUUCUUUUACAAAUGAUAGAUGGAACUCAUGUAUACAUCUUAAAAAAUGGGAUCCUUUGCUUCUUGCAGUUUUGUGGAUAAGUGGUCUCAAAACAUUUCCUUUCUCUGGAAUCACUUAGGCUAUCUCAAAAACACUAGACACUUGAUAGCUGAAAAGUAUAAGCUUCAACUAUAACUAUAACUUCUUCUACUCUUUCCCUAUAUUAUGCCUUUGUUCAUUGAAAAAGGAAUUUAUAACAACACAUUUAGUAUCUAAAGAAGAGCUUCUGAAAGGUAAUGCUCAAACCAGUCACCUGUGAGUGGAGAAGGACACAUUUUAAAAGCACACUUUGAUUCAGCAGGUCAGGGUGGAGGCUGAGAUUCUGCAUUUCUAACAAGCUUCCAGGUGAUGCAGUUGUUGCUGAUCUAAGGACCACCUCAUACCUGAGCAGAAAGGGUCUGUGUUAUAGAAAAAGUCCCGUUCCUUUCUACCAACUUAUUCAUAUCUCUUCAGGGAUAAAGGGUAACAAAUUUUUUCCACCAGAAUUUUCACAAGUGAGUGAGUUUAAUUCAUUAAGUAUUAUCCAUGUGCAUACAGAACACACACACACAUUCAUGCUCAUCACAUAGCCUCUGUCUUCUGAACUUGUAGCACCCUGAUCCUACCAGGCUGCCAUCCUGCACCUGCCCACUCACCUGCUUCAUGUUUCUAGGUGGUAAAAGUGCCUGGACAGUGAUGGGGACCUCAAGGAUGAGAUCUUGGGCAGGAGUUAUGGACAUUUUACAUUAAGCUUGUGCACUGCAUAACUUGAGCCUGUGUAUCUUUUGGAUUUGUUUCAUUAAAGAAAGAAGCACAUUGUUUUUUAAAAAGCCAUGUUUUCCAUUGGAUCUUUGCCUAAAGUUCUAUUUUUGAGAAAUCAGUGGGAAAUGCCCAGCCCAUUCAGAAAGGAGAUACUUGGAUCCUCACAUGACCAGGAAGGAGGGUCUUGUUUCUAUUUUCUCUGUCAAAUAGAGCACAGUGGGGUGAAUAACUUUAGGCCUCCGCAACCACUUUCCCUAACCUGCAUCCUAUCUUUAAAUAGAGUAGUUAGGAAAAUCUGAUGUGUUUUACUAUAUACGCAUACUUUCAAAAUGUAUAUUGCUAUCCAGCAAACAGAACACUGAUUUUUUUUUAAAGUGAGCAUGCAAAUACUGCAGCAUAUUUUUAAACUGAGAUCAACUGCGUUUUUUCUGAACUUCAGGAAAGUCAGCUUAUUUUGAAAUGUGUACACGAUAGCUUACUCACUCAUCAUUGCACUUGAUAAUACGCUAAAUAUGGAAUGUGACUGGUUAUAUUUCUUGUAAAUAAGUAGGUCAAGAACAUCCUUCUCCAGUCAGUAUGCUGAAGAAAUAUGUACAUUCGUGAAAGGACUUUCAUCUACUAAAUGCUCACUCAUGUGAAAGACAGUUUAAAAAUGCUUUUAAAAGAAAACAUUUUUAUAGCUAGCAUGUAAAGGAAGGCUGCAAUGUAAUAUGGCAUUGUUAAUGAUAACGCUUCACUAGCGAAGUAUUACAUUUAACCUAUUUCUUGAGAAAAGGGCAAUGCAUCCAAGAAUUUUUGUAUAAAUUCUGUCUAAUCAUUUUAAAUAACAUUUCUUUUGAUAGAAUUCUAUUAAUCCAGAAGAAAUAAUGUAAAAGGAAAAAUAUAGCACUCAAAACAUUAAUUCAUGACACACUUCUUUAAAAUUAAUGAGAUUUUAAACUAGAGUUCUUAAUCAUCUUUCUCUCCUUAAUCAUAAAUCUGUCAAAAAGAAUUUACAUAACUGUGCAAUCAAACACAAACGGAAAAACCAAACAAGACUGCUCUAUUAGAAGGAAUACAAUUAGAAUAAAGUAUAACACAGCAGCACCUAUUUCCUACUAUAUUCAAAAUUCUCCAUAAAAGGUAAUAUAGUCUCAGAAGAUGAUAAGGGAUUACUUUAACUUCUCUGGACCUCAGUAUUUUUCAUUUAUAAAACAAGGAAAAUGCUCUGAAGAUUUUCUCUAAACUCCAUUUGAUCUCCUAAGUUUAUAACAUCAAAGUUUGUUUCACCCGAGACUGAAUUAAGAACUCAGAUGGUGCCUUUGCUACUAAUCAGAUCCACUGACGAGGCUGGAUCUUGCCAGGCAAUGAUCCUUUUAGGAAAUACAUCUGUUUUCCAUUGCCUUUUAAUGGCCUAGCAACUACAAAGCUAGAUUCUGUUAAAAUAAAUGAGAAAUCCACAAUUCAUUUUUUUAUGAACAUGCAUUAAUCACAAUGUUGAUUGACUGUUUUUUAUUUUAUUUUAUUUUUUUAUUUUAUUUUUUUGUCUUUUUGUGUUUUUUUUUUUUUUUUCUUGAGCCAAUCCCAUGGCAUAUGGAGGUUCCCAGAAAUAGUAAAAAAAAAUAAAAUAAAUAAAAAAAUAAAAGAGUCUCUAGAAAAAGGUGCCCAAUUUGAUGAUGUAUCUUGAAAUUUUUCCACUUAAUGACAGCAGGUAUUUGAUAAGAACUGUAUUCAAAUAGCCAAAGGGCUGGCAUCUGUGAUGCCUGCAUUUAAACUUGGCAUUCCACCAAGAUAAGUUAGGUAAAUUACUGGAAGGUGUCUGUCUAAUUAAAGAAGUACCAUGUACUGCCCCUCACCUCUGAGAGUAUUUGAUUUUUUUUCUUUCUCUUUUACUUCUUCCCAUUCUGUUCAGAGACAUGCUCAAAGGACUCCUGACUUCUUUAAGGAAAAGAAAAAGCAAAACCAAAACACAAUGAACUUCCUUGAAUUUAUCUUAUUUCUGUCAAGAAUUUAUCAGUAAGCUUUAUAAAAUACAUUUAGUUAUAUUAUCCCUAUAUAAUAUUAAUCAGUAACUCUCAAUCACCUAUAGAAUGAAAUUUAAGUUUCUUAGAGUAACCUCUUGUGGCAGAUUAUUCUCCAAAGGUGGGAGGCAGAGGUAACUUUCCCUCUUCUUGAAGCUGGGCUAGACUUAGUGACUUUCUUACAUUCAGUAAAAUACAAGAGAUUCACAGGGAGAUGCCACAUCUCUAUUCUUACUCACUUAGAAUAUAAGUACACCAGCUAUGUAAUAAUUUUCCCUCCCUUGAAUUGCCAGGAAUGGUGAGGGACUAAACAAUGGUUUGGGUGAACCAAGAGGCAUCAACAAUAGAGAUACCACUUACGAAAGGUUUAAAAUACAGAAAGGAUUUGAGAAACCCACAAAUUUCUAGGGCUGUAGGACUGAAAGCAGAAUUGAAAAAUCUGUUGAUCUUGUAACACAUGGGGAUUUCAAAUGCUUUUGUCUUUCUAGGAACAGCUCUAAAAAUAUUUAAGAAGUUUAUUUUUUUCCAGUGAUGCAGAGAAAAGCUAUUAAAUUCCUAGGCAUUGUCACAGUGUUAUGCAAAAUAAAAUGUCUAUGAAACUGGGCUUUUUUCUAAACACUUAGUGGACCAUUUAAGGGAAAUAUAAAAUGUUGAACGUGUGAGAACACACAAGACAAUCUAAAAAUACAUAUGUCUCAAAGACAAGAUGAUUCACAUAAUGCUAAUUAAGUCAAUAACAAAAAAGUAUGACUUUGAAACACAGAAUUAUUUUGAUAGUAAUCAAUGACAGAAUUAAAGUAAAACAAUUCAGUUAUAAAAUUUAUUCUCUAAAUAAUUAUGGUUAUUUAGCCACUGAAUUUAUAAAAAAAAUGGAAUAGAAAACUAUGCCAUUAUUAAUAGAUGCACAUAUAUUUCACUUUAAGAAAAUCAUGAAAGAUUCUGGAAGGCUUAUUUAAAUAUUGUUUAUAUGAAACCACAUGGUUUAUUUUCAUAGUGUUAGUGGGAUUUGAAUAUCAAUUAUCUGCUAAAUUUAACUCAUAGUAGGUAUCUUAGCCCC
rnacentral:lncRNA from 1 species